rnacentral:lncRNA from 1 species
AGCGAGGCUGUUAAUACUUCGUCAUGAGGUUCCUACGCUACAUCGCUGCCGUGUGCCUGCUGCUGCUCGCUGCUACAAGCGCCGUGGACGCGUAUGCGGAUCCUGUUCAGGAAACAUUAGCUCAGGUCGCCUCGCGGGACGCCAAGAACAUCGUCGAAACGAUCUCGUAUCCCGGCUACUCGAACCCGGCUACUAUUACCAUCUAUUAGCUACAACUGUAACAUAUCCCGGCUACUCGAACCUCUGCUCAAAUAACUUAUUUACUCCUCUCAAUAAAAAUUUCAGCCAAAUGAUUAUCGGCUAAGCUCAUGACACAUAACAAAAUGAGAAAAAAAUUGAACUCCAAUUAUAUUUUAAAAUCAACAAACACGAAAGCCGAAUAUUAAAUGGUGAAGAGAAUUAUACUCAUAAAUAGUUGACGAAUAUAAUUCCUAAUUAAUUAAAAUUAAUAAUGCAUGCAGUUCAAUUUAGGUCCUAUUUUUCACUCUG